AUUGAACGCUGGCGGCAGGCCUAACACAUGCAAGUCGAACGAGUGGCGGACGGGUGAGUAAUGUCUGGGAACCUGCCCGAUGGAGGGGGAUAACUACUGGAAACGGUAGCUAAUACCGCAUACCAUCGGAUGUUCCCAGAUGGGAUUAGCUAUUAGGUGGGGUAAAGGCGCACCUAGGCGACGAUCCCUAGCUGGUCUGAGAGGAUGACAAGGCACACGGGAACUGAGACACGGGCCAGACUCCUACGGUAGGCAGCAGUGGGGAAUAGUGGAAAAUGGGGGAAAGCCUGAUGCAGCAAUGCCGCGUGUAUGAAGAAGGCAUGCGGGUUGUAAAGUACUUUCAGCGAGGAGGCGGUACUCGCAGAAGAAGCACCGGCUAACUCCGUGCCAGCAGCCGCGGUAAUAC
rnacentral:rRNA from 1 species